CCACUGCAGUCACUGUCCAUCAGUGUAAUAAGAUGCCACAGAUUCACUAUUUGCCAAGAAGUAAUUAAGUUGCUCUUGGCUUUUUGAGCUUUAAUUGAUUAGUUUUGGGUCUUUUUAGUGGACUUUCUGGCCUUUUUCUGUUUACAUCCUGUGCAUAGCUAAUUUCCUGCCUAACAAGUAGGUUUUGCUUUUGUCUUUUAGAGGGUUUCAUUUCCUGCCCAGAAGCCAUUUAGUUUGAUGUAGCCACAUUUGUUUACUUUUGCUAUUGUUUCCCUUGCCUGGGGAGACAUACUCAAAAAAUUUGCUGACACCAACAUCCAAGCGCUUACUACCUAUUAUUUCUCCAGUUUUAUGGUUUCAAGUCUUAACAUUUGUAGAAACAAACAAAAAACUCAUCCCUCCACUAAACCUAAGAGCGUGCUUUUUGAUUUUCAUCCUUUUGUCCUCCAGAGAGUUGUUUCAUCGAUCAUUCAUAAGACAAACCCAUUUCCUUUUUUCACUGGUUUAUUUAGGAUUGCUCUGUUUUAAAAAUGAUGAAAAAGAAGUAAGUACAAGUUUUUCUUUCCUCAGGUGGUUGUUUUUAUAUACUAAACAUAUGUAUCCAUGUUAAUAUGUGUAGCUUUAGUUCAUUCAUUUUAACUGGUAUAUACUAUUUUGUUUUAUAAACAUACCACAACCUUUUAAUUUAUUUUUCCAAUAUUUCACUAUACAAAUAGUGCUGAAAUUUACAUUUUUGUAUAUGACCUCUUGUGCACAUGGAUGAGAACUUUUCUGGAUUCUAUAUCUGGAAGUGGAAUUGCUGUGAUGGAAAUGGCAUACAGCUUUGAUUUCACUAUGUAUUGCUUAAUAUUUUUAUACAGUGUUUAUACCAGUUGGCACUACCAGUGCGUAAGAGAUUUCCUGCUCUACAUUUUUGCCCAUUUUUGGGAUUUCUGUGGUUUUUGCCUUUCCAAUUCCUCUGUAUAGAACUUGCUAUAAAGUCCAGUAGAUUUUACUUCUACAUUUUUUUUAUUUCUAGCUCUUCUUUGCACAGCCACGAAGUAAGAAAAUUUUUUGAUUCAUUUUAUCUCAUUCACAAUCAUCUUUGUAUUUUUGACUCUACUGCUACAACUUUAGAUGAGACCCUUCUUACCUAAACUAUUGCACCAGACUGAGAAAACGAAGAGGAGAAGAUGUGAUACAGGAAUAUCAAGCCUAAGCUGAGAAAUGAAAUGGUGUGGAGACUGGACCCAGGAGUCUGGGCUGCAACUUUGGGAUGACUUGGAGCCCAGUCCACCAGGAGGAAAAUGCGUCCUGCGUGGGGUCCUGACACCUGCAGAUGGGGCUUUGCCAUGAUUUCUUCUGGAUGUUUCUGUAAGGAGAUUGUUUCUGUAGAGAAAUCCCACUUCAGCAUCAUAUACACAGUCAUAAAAUUCAUAUCAAGAAAUGGGACCAGCCAGUCUUCCCUGCAACUUGAGGUGAAGAGAAAAAAGUGACACCCUAAUAAGUCCCUUCACUCACCUGUAUUGUUACUUUUCCAACAUUAGAGUAAUUGAGAUCCACUGAAAACUGGAAGUUUUAAGUACAUUAAAAUUCAGAACAUUAUUUAGAGUUCUGCUGUUUUAUUGAUGCCAAACCAGAAUUGAGUAUGCUUUAAUGUUCCUAGCUUUCGAAAAGUCAACUUAUCAAUAUGUUAAUUGCCCUGUAGCUUGUCAUUUUCAAACGGGAUUAUCAUUGUGCUUGAUGAUUUCUCCUGAAUUAGUGUUGAACAUAAUUUUUAAAAAUUAUCUUCAUCCACUAAUAUGUUCUUUGCCAGACCUCUGUGUGAAUGAAUGUAUUUGUUAAAACAUACAUAAAUGAACCAAGGGAACAUCUAACUGUUUUGAUACACGAUUAGAGUGAGCAAGUUUCAUGAAUCAGGUUUAGAAGAUCAAAAUAUGAUGAUGUCUUUUCUCUUCAUGCCACCUACUGCAUGCUGCGUAAAACCAUUUAAGGUGAAGUUAUUACCAAAUGAAACAAGCCU